UACGUAGGGUGCGAGCGUUAAUCGGAAUUACUGGGCGUAAAGCGUGCGCAGGCGGUCCGCAAAGUCUGAUGUGAAAGCCCCGGGCUCAACCUGGGAACUGCAUUGGAAACUAACGGGCUCGAGUGUGGCAGAGGGGGGUGGAGUUCCACGUGUAGCAGUGAAAUGCGUAGAGAUGUGGAGGAACACCGAUGGCGAAGGCAGCCCCCUGGGCUAACACUGACGCUCAGGCACGAAAGCGUGGGGAGCAAACAGG
rnacentral:rRNA from 1 species